AUGCGCGAUUCUCUUUGGCACGGGCGGCGCGACGUGAAUGGAAGUCAAUGCCUGGUUAAUUGGCAGAAGGUAUGCCGCCCUCUAUCGCUCGAAGGGCUAGGGAUUCCGGACCUACAGCGCAUCGGAGUGGCUCUGCGUAUGCGCUGGAUGUGGUUUCCAACGACGGAUGCAUCCAGGGCAUGGCACCAUCUGCAUCUACCUGGCACCCCUAAGGUGUGGACGGUGUUUCGAGCAUCCACGGCUUGGACUCUCGAUAAUGGCAAGGCUUGCCGUCUCGGGGAUGAUCACUAG
rnacentral:rRNA from 1 species